AUACCUUUCUCGGCCUUUUGGCUAAGAUCAAGUGUAGUAUCUGUUCUUAUCAGUUUAAUAUCUGAUAUGUGGGUCAUUGAUUCACACGAUAUUAACUUAAUUUUUUAAAGGGAAAAGAUCCAUCAAGGUAGCUUGCUACUUGGGCUUUUGCGCGUCGCCCAUGCGUUGCACUACUGCUUGGGCCUGGCGCACCCCAC
rnacentral:snRNA from 2 species